rnacentral:rRNA from 1 species
GGAGAUUCAUCGUCAAAGUAUCUGGUAUUAGUGCAAGUUAUGAUGUAGUAAAUAAUCCUCGUGGUUAGUAUAUUAUACAUUCUUGUGCUAUUUUGCUGGGUACGUCGGCGUGCACUUCUCCUCUAGUAGAACGUCGCGACCCGUUGAAUGUUGAUCUAUGGCCUAAAUGGUUGCCUUUGAUUUUGCUUGCAUUGUCGGAGACCUUUAGUGUCCUGAUCAUCUGUUCGACGGUAUACAUAUGGUGUAAAGUCGCUUGUUUUAUGGGUUAAAUCCCUGGCAGGUGGGGUUAAAAUUUCGGCAAUAUGGAUCUGACGCCCUCGCUGGUGGAGACUCACUGUGAGGAUGGGGUAUUCUUUAACUGACUUAAUACCGGCCAGGGAUGCGAUUGCUUUGGGUACUUUCCCGACCCGUCUUGAAACACCAACCAAGGAGUCUAACAUGUACGCCAGUCAUUGUGACUUGAAAACAACCCUGAGGCUAAUGAAAAUGAAGGUUGUUGAUGAAUCAUUAAGGAAGAAUGGUUAUCUAUCGAAGUAAUCUGUAUUCCGGGGCA